rnacentral:rRNA from 1 species
UUGGAUUUCUGUUGAGGACGGCCGGUCCGCACUCUGUGCGUGUAUCUGGUUCGGCCUCGGCAUCCUCUUGAGGAACGUUUCUGCGCUUGAUUGCGUGGAGCGGUUUCAAGACUUUUACUUUGAGGAAAUUAGAGUGUUCACGGCNGGCAAGCGCCUUGAAUAUGUUAGCAUGGAAUAAUAAUAUAGGAUCUUGGUUCUAUUUGUUGGUUUCUAGGGCUUAGGUAAUGAUUAAUAGGGAUAAUUGGGGGCAUUUGUAUUAACGCGUCAGAGGUGGAAUUCUUGGAUUGCGUUCGACAAACUACUGCGAAUGCAUUUGCCAAGGAUGUUUUCAUUGAUCAAGAACGAAAGUGUGGGGAUCGAAGAUGAUUAGAUACCGUCGUCGUCUAUACCAUAAACUAUGCCGACUAGGGAUUGGAGGUCGUUCUUUUUAUGACUCCUUCAGCACCUUAUGAGAAAUCAAAGUCUUUGGGUUCCGGGGGGAGUCUAGUCGCCAGGCUGAAACUUACCGGAAUUGUCGGAAGGGCACCACCAGUAGUGGAGCCUGCGGCUUAAUUUGACUCAACACGGGGAAACUCACCAGGUCCAGACAUAGU